GUGGGUAGUUUGACUGGGGCGGUCUCCUCCUAAAGAGUAACGGAGGAGCACGAAGGUUGGCUAAUCCUGGUCGGACAUCAGGAGGUUAGUGCAAUGGCAUAAGCCAGCUUGACUGCGAGCGUGACGGCGCGAGCAGGUGCGAAAGCAGGUCAUAGUGAUCCGGUGGUUCUGAAUGGAAGGGCCAUCGCUCAACGGAUAAAAGGUACUCCGGGGAUAACAGGCUGAUACCGCCCAAGAGUUCAUAUCGACGGCGGUGUUUGGCACCUCGAUGUCGGCUCAUCACAUCCUGGGGCUGAAGUAGGUCCCAAGGGUAUGGCUGUUCGCCAUUUAAAGUGGUACGCGAGCUGGGUUUAGAACGUCGUGAGACAGUUCGGUCCCUAUCUGCCGUGGGCGCUGGAGAACUGAGGGGGGCUGCUCCUAGUACGAGAGGACCGGAGUGGACGCAUCACUGGUGUUCGGGUUGUCAUGCCAAUGGCACUGCCCGGUAGCUAAAUGCGGAAGAGAUAAGUGCUGAAAGCAUCUAAGCACGAAACUUGCCCCGAGAUGAGUUCUCCCUGAGACUUAGAGUCUCCUGAAGGAACGUUGAAGACGACGACGUUGAUAGGCCGGGUGUGUAAGCGCAGCGAUGCGUUGAGCU
rnacentral:rRNA from 1 species